rnacentral:rRNA from 1 species
GGUUAAGCGACUAAGCGUACACGGUGGAUGCCCUGGCAGUCAGAGGCGAUGAAGGACGUGCUAAUCUGCGAUAAGCGCCGGUAAGGUGAUAUGAACCGUUAUAACCGGCGAUUUCCGAAUGGGGAAACCCAGUGUGACUCGUCACACUAUCAUUAACUGAAUCCAUAGGUUAAUGAGGCGAACCGGGGGAACUGAAACAUCUAAGUACCCCGAGG